rnacentral:rRNA from 1 species
CACGUAGGGGACGAGCGUUGUCCGGAUUCAUUGGGCGUAAAGCGCACGUAGGCGGCGCGUUAAGUCGGGUGUGAAAGCCCUGGGCUCAACCCAGGAAGUGCAUUCGAAACUGGCGCGCUUGAAUAUGGAAGAGGGUCGCGGAAUUCCCGGUGUAGAGGUGAAAUUCGUAGAUAUCGGGAGGAACACCAGUGGCGAAGGCGGCGACCUGGGCCAAUAUUGACGCUGAGGUGCGAAAGCGUGGGGAGCAAACAGG